UGAGGAAUAUUGGUCAAUGGGCGAGAGCCUGAACCAGCCAAGUCGCGUGAAGGAUGACAGUUCUAUGGAUUGUAAACUUCUUUUGCACAAGGAUAAAAGAGAGGACGCGUCCUCUAUUGCAGGUAUUGUGCGAAUAAGCAUCGGCUAACUCCGUGCCAGCAGCCGCGGUAAUACGGAGGAUGCGAGCGUUAUCCGGAUUUAUUGGGUUUAAAGGGUGCGUAGGCGGUUUGGUAAGUCAGCGGUGAAAGUAUUCGGCUCAACCGGAUAAUUGCCGUUGAAACUGUCAGACUUGAGUGUAGUAGAGGUAUGCGGAAUGCGUGGUGUAGCGGUGAAAUGCAUAGAUAUCACGCAGAACUCCGAUUGCGAAGGCAGCAUGCUGGACUAUAACUGACGCUGAGGCACGAAAGCGUGGGGAUCAAACA
rnacentral:rRNA from 1 species